AAAACGGCCCUUUUCAGGGCCACAACAAUGCGUUAUACGUAAAAG
rfam:Aedes aegypti strain Liverpool supercont1.316 genomic scaffold, whole genome shotgun sequence.